UGGGGAAUAUUGCACAAUUGGCGCAAGCCUGAUGCAGCCAUGCCGCGUGUAUGAAGAAGGCCUUCGGGUUGUAAAGCACUUUCAGCGGGGAGGAAGGCGAUAAGGUUAAUAACCUUGUCGAUUGACGUUACCCGCAGAAGAAGCACCGGCUAACUCCGUGCCAGCAGCCGCGGUAAUACGGAGGGUGCAAGCGUUAAUCGGAAUUACUGGGCGUAAAGCGCACGCAGGCGGUCUGUCAAGUCGGAUGUGAAAUCCCCGGGCUCAACCUGGGAACUGCCUUCGAAACUGGCAGGCUAGAGUCUUGGAGAGGGGGGUAGAAUUCCAGGUGUAGCGGUGAAAUGCGUAGAGAUCUAGAGGAAUACCGGUGGCGAAUGCAGCCCCCUGGACAAAGAAUGACGCUCAGGUGCGAAAGAGUGGGGAGCAAGCAGG
rnacentral:rRNA from 1 species